rnacentral:rRNA from 1 species
AGUAACACGUGAGUAACCUGCCCUUAACUCUGGGAUAAGCCUGGGAAACUAGGUCUAAUACCGGAUAGGAGCGCCUACCGCAUGGUGGGUGUUGGAAAGAUUUAUCGGUUUUGGAUGGACUCGCGGCCUAUCAGCUUGUUGGUGAGGUAAUGGCUCACCAAGGCGACGACGGGUAGCCGGCCUGAGAGGGUGACCGGCCACACUGGGACUGAGACACGGCCCAGACUCC